GCCGCUCCCCGCAUGAGCCGUCGGCAGCAUGGCGCUUGCGUGCGGCCCCCCCGGGGUGCCCGCCCCCCGUCUCUGUGUCCCCCCUGCACGCUGUACAACAACCGGCUCCCCGUCCCUGAGCAUCCCUGUGCUGUGCUGGAGGUGUUUCAAUAAACUCUGUGCGGUCGCCACCGGCCGUGUCACCGCGCCUCUGUCCCCCACGGGACCCCAAGAAGUGGCUCAGAAUCCCCCCACCCCACCCCCGAUCCAGCUCAUGGGAAGGGGAAUGGGACUGGGAGGAGACAGGGUGGCUCUCGCCAGCUCUCAGAAAAGUUCAGGUUGGAAGGUCCCUCCUGGAGAUCGCCAGGUCCAUCCCACCUGCCCAGGCAGGGUCACCUGGAUCAGGUGACAUAGGAGCACAUCCAAGUGGGUUUGGAAUGUCGCCAGAGAGGGAGACUCCACCCUUCUCUGGGGCUGUCCCAGUGCUCUGCCACCCUUCAUGGAAAGAAUUUCCUCCUCAUGUUGAGGUGGAACUCAUGUUUUCGUUUACGGCCAUUGCUCCUCGUCCUGUCACUGAAAAGUUCCCUGAACCCCGCACCUCCUUUUCACCAUGGAGACUGAAAACCCUUCUGAACAAAAACCCCCGGUGCCCAUCCCGGUUCUGUCCAGGCACAGCCCCUGUGGAGCAUCCCAGGCCUGGCACAAACAGGGAAGAGGAGCCUCCCGACGGCAUCAGCAGCGAGCACGGGAUGCAGGAGGGGUCGAGGCACGCGGGAGCACGCGGUGGGCGCGGGGGCCGUGUCACAGCCCACCCGCCAUCUGCCACCGCUGGCGCGGGGACGCGCUGGAGCACACGGUGGGCGCAGCACGUGGCACCCACCCACCCCACAGCGGGUGCUCUUCUGGCUCAGACACCUCAAAAUAAAGGUGUGGGGAGAGAACCCACCUGCAGAGUCCUGGGGGGGCAGAGGGCUCUGAGGCCACCACCCACUGUCCCCGGGAGAUGGAAUGGCUGCUCCUUCGUUGGAGUUCCUGGCUCUGCUCCGUCAGAACCCCAAGGAUGGGGGUCUUCCCUUAGGAUUGGGGUCCGUGCAAGGUCCUGGGUGCUUUUCCCCCCAGUCCAGCCCCAUUUCGGAAGCUGUUUUGCUGGGCUGGAAGCAAAGAGGCCGGGGCUGCCCCUGCUCCAAGUACAAGGGUAUUUAUUUCAUGGGUACAAGAGAGAGACAGCACCUUGUGUGUGUUGGGCUCUUCCCGGUUACUGGUUUGUACAUUCAGAGCUUUGGGGCAGGGGAGGGCAGCGGGUCCUGCUCGG
rnacentral:lncRNA from 1 species